GCCGCCAUCGCCUAAUCCGGUAUGGCACUAGCCUGGAAAGCUAGACCUGAAAGGGUAUCCCGGUUCAAAUCCGGGUGGCGGCG
rnacentral:tRNA from 1 species